ACAUUCUGAUAUAAGAUUGAUUAAUCCUCAUAAGGACAUGCCCGCGCCUAAAUGUAGUAUGCUAACAGCACUCAUUUGGAUGUCCAGGUCAUUCAGAAAUGCAAUGCCCGCUGGACCACGGAAGAGCAGCUGCUCGCUGUACAAGCCAUCAGGAAAUACGGCCGAGAUUUCCAGGCCAUCUCAGAUGUGAUUGGGAACAAAUCAGUGGUGCAAGUGAAAAACUUUUUUGUAAAUUAUCGACGCCGCUUCAACAUAGAUGAAGUUUUACAAGAAUGGGAGGCAGAGCAUGGGAAAGAAGAGAAUGGUCCCAGCAACCAGAAACCUGUCAAGUCCCCAGACAGCUCCAUCAAGAUGCCUGAGGAGGACGACGAGGCUGCUUCUGUUCUUGAUGUCAGAUACGCGUCUGCCUCCUGAGACGCUCUGGUGGCUUGAGCGCUUGGUGUGGACGCCUGCAUUUUCCAGGAUUCAGGUACCUCCAGACUUCACCCAGCCAUCCGCAUCACAGCUCUGUGGACAAGCAGCUAUUACCAAAAAGGCACACACUCGCAGUCCUGGGCUACACCUGCCUUAAUUCUCCGCUCGUUCCUCGUGCGGGGCCGCUUCCCCGAGAGCUCUCUGUGUCUCUCACUCCGCCUCAGUGCGGGGAUCCCGUGGCCUGCACGCUCCUGCGUCGCCGGGGCCCGCCGCCCCCAUGGAGCCCCGGCCCACCUACGGCAGCUCUUCCCCGUUGGCGGCUUCGGAGCAAGGAGUCACUCGGAGGUGCGACUCUGUUCCUGCAUGGCCUGCAGUCCCUACUUUGUGCAUAAUGUGAUUUUCAGAGUAACUGUGACCCGUUGGCCUUCUGGGAAGUUUCCUUUGUUCUUUUCUGAG
rnacentral:lncRNA from 1 species